rfam:Dipodomys ordii contig_55088, whole genome shotgun sequence.
GGUGGCUCAGUGGUAGAGCGCUUGCCUUGCACGCCUGAGGCCCUGGGUUCGAUUCCUCAGCACCA